rnacentral:rRNA from 1 species
CUACGGUGAAUACGUUCCCGGACCUUGUACACACCGCCCGUCGAGCCAUGGAAGCUGGGUGUACCUAAAGUCGAUAACCGUAAGGAGUCGCCUAGGGUAAAACUAGUAACUGGGGCU